UUGCUUUGGCAGCACAUAUACUAAAAUUGGAAUGAUAGAGGGAAGAUUAGCAUGGCCCCUGCGCAAGGAUGACAGCAAAAAAAAAGAAAAAGAAAAUAUUCCU